rnacentral:rRNA from 1 species
AUUGAACGCUGGCGGCAUGCUUUACACAUGCAAGUCGAACGGUAACAGGCCGCAAGGUGCUGACGAGUGGCGAACGGGUGAGUAAUGCAUCGGCACGUGCCCAGUCGUGGGGGAUAACGCAGCGAAAGCUGCGCUAAUACCUCAUACGAUCUAUGGAUGAAAGCGGGGGACCGUAAGGCCUCGCGCGAUUGGAGCGGCCGAUGUCAGAUUAGGUAGUUGGUGGGGUAAAGGCUCACCAAGCCAACGAUCUGUAGCUGGUCUGAGCGGACGACCAGCCACACUGGGACUGAGACAAGGCCCAGACUCCUACGGGAGGCAGCAGUGGGGAAUUUUGGACAAUGGGCGCAAGCCUGAUCCAGCAAUGCCGCGUGCAGGAAGAAGGCCUUCGGGUUGUAAACUGCUUUUGUACGGAACGAAACGGUCUGGGUUAAUACCUCGGGCUAAUGACGGUACCGUAAGAAUAAGCACCGGCUAACUACGUGCCAGCCGCCGCCGUAAGAC